GGAGAAAUGACCGAGUGGCUUAAGGUAGCACAUUGCUAAUGUGUCAUAUGAUAAAACAUAUCGAGGGUUCGAAUCCCUCUUUCUCC
rnacentral:tRNA from 1 species